rnacentral:sRNA from 1 species
AUUCACUCGAGGUUUCUGGGUCAUAAUGUAGGAGAGAUGGCCGAGUGGUUUAA